rnacentral:lncRNA from 12 species
GUUCUUCUGGAUGAUAUACCUCUUCAGCUGAGGUUUUCCUCUAUUGCAACAAGGAAUUUAGACUUGGGUGGAAAUGCUGGAAUGUAGGGAUGUCAACAAAUGGCCAGUAAACAUUGAGGAGAUCACCGAAGAACAUCGUAGAAAGAACACUAUGGCUCCAGCUAACACCAACAUUGAAGAAGCAUGUGGAGGAAGCAGCAGGAGCCAGUAGUUUACAUUAACGGCGCAGAAUCCCAGAAAGGAAGAAGAGAAUUCACAACCCCGAACAUCCAGUGAACUGACAAAACUGACCUUCCGAAUCU